rnacentral:rRNA from 1 species
GGCGAAAGCCUGAUGCAGCAACGCCGCGUGAGGGAUGACGGCCUUCGGGUUGUAAACCUCUUUUAGCAGGGAAGAAGCGAAAGUGACGGUACCUGCAGAAAAAGCGCCGGCUAACUACGUGCCAGCAGCCGCGGUAAUACGUAGGGCGCAAGCGUUAUCCGGAAUUAUUGGGCGUAAAGAGCUCGUAGGCGGUUUGUCGCGUCUGCUGUGAAAUCCCGAGGCUCAACCUCGGGCCUGCAGUGGGUACGGGCAGACUAGAGUGCGGUAGGGGAGAUUGGAAUUCCUGGUGUAGCGGUGGAAUGCGCAGAUAUCAGGAGGAACACCGAUGGCGAAGGCAGAUCUCUGGGCCGUAACUGACGCUGAGGAGCGAAAGGGUGGGGAGCAAACAGGCUUAGAUACCCUGGUAGUCCACCCCGUAAACGUUGGGAACUAGUUGUGGGGUCCAUUCCACGGAAUCCGUGACGCAGCUAACGCAUUAAGUUCCCCGCCUGGGGAGUACGGCCGCAAGGCUAAAACUCAAAGGAAUUGACGGGGACCCGCACAAGCGGCGGAGCAUGCGGAUUAAUUCGAUGCAACGCGAAGAACCUUACCAAGGCUUGACAUAUACGAGAACGGGCCAGAAAUGGUCAACUCUUUGGACACUCGUAAACAGGUGGUGCAUGGUUGUCGUCAGCUCGUGUCGUGAGAUGUUGGGUUAAGUCCCGCAACGAGCGCAACCCUCGUUCUAUGUUGCCAGCACGUAAUGGUGGGAACUCAUGGGAUACUGCCGGGGUCAACUCGGAGGAAGGUGGGGAUGACGUCAAAUCAUCAUGCCCCUUAUGUCUUGGGCUUCACGCAUGCUACAAUGGCCGGUACAAAGGGCUGCAAUACCGUGAGGUGGAGCGAAUCCCAAAAAGCCGGUCCCAGUUCGGAUUGAGGUCUGCAACUCGACCUCAUGAAGUCGGAGUCGCUAGUAAUCGCAGAUCAGCAACGCUGCGGUGAAUACGUUCCCGGGUCUUGUACACACCGCCCGUCAAGUCAUGAAAGUCGGUAACACCUGAAGCCGGUGGCCUAA